UAAAUCCACAUUACGGAAAGUAGCAGAGGUUAAAUGGGUCAAAUUGUAGGAUACAAUAGAUUUGUUAGCAAAAGGAAGAUUAGGCAAUCCAAUUCUUGAAUCUGUUGCAAUUAUUGGCCUAUUCUUUUUCAUUUCUUGGUGGGCCUUCAACUUGAUUUAAAUUUCAUUCGUCGGAGCCCCGUCGGUGAAACCGCCGUCACUGCAGCAGCAUUUAACGAUGCGACAGCUUUGAUUUUAUUAGCGCUCGCCAUUGCUUUGGCAGGUAACGAUGACAAUGACCCCAACAAAAGUCUACUGAUUUUCAUAUAGGUGUG
rnacentral:lncRNA from 1 species